rnacentral:lncRNA from 1 species
UCCCACUAGUCAAAUGGGAACCAAUUACCAGGUUUGCUUUUCGGGUACCACACACCAGUUCUAUAUCUGUGCAAUUAGAUAAUUUGAUUCAAAAAGAGCCAAUAAGGCAUAAUAUUUCAUACAACAGCCAAGCAUAGUACAAUUCUGGUAUUCAGCUAUAAAAUACAACUAAAUAUACACAUAACUAGCUCCAAGCAUAACUAUCUCUAGUGAGCUAAAACGCAUUGCUGGGUGUGGUUUAUCUUCGGCAUUCUUCUUCCUAGAGCUCCUGUACACCCAACUUUGGAAGAAUGAAAGCCAACAUCUACAAAUAAUAAAUUAUGAAAAGUUAGAAACAUAAUCAAGUGAAUCCGUGAAUAUAAAAUUCUCAUAACAAUGAAAAUUUGCUGCAGAACUUUAGAUUUAACAGGAAACCAUGCAUAUAACAUUCCUAUUACAGCGAAAACUGAGAUAUAUUUCGCAAAUGAUCAAGUAACAUAUGGACAGUACAACAGGUCAGAGAGCAGCAAGACAUAAGCCGUAUGCAAAGCAGUCAAACAGUUCAGGGAACGGCAAAAAUGCUUGCAUGCAAUUGAAGUAUGUACUAGUACUAGUACAACACAAUGCCAGGUUGGAGCAAAUCAUGCUUAAGCAAACAAUGGCAGCGGCAUGGCAUAACCAAAUAAUAAUGUGAGAAAACAACUGGAUAUGAGUCGCACUUGAUCACAACAAAGAAUGUGCUAGUAGUGUGCACUCACCAAAGAAUGAAUGAAUCGACAUUGAUUUGCUACACUGCACCAUCCAAGGGGAGCUGACUUCUUCAAGGCAUCAGUUGUAUAUAGUAUAUGUGAAACAACAGAUUCAUAGUUAAAACUUAGUAGAAACAAGUGCAACACUUAGUAGAAACAAGCAUCAAUUCUAACAGGUAAAGCCCUUGGAACACACGUUGGGGAAGUAAUCUAUGGGAUGGAUUAUGAGAACUACCAGUUACUGCUUACUAAAGAGAUCUGCUGGCUACGGUAAUAACUAGUUUCACGGUUACGAUUAUAUACAUUCGAUUGCCAGCACAGCUAAAGGUAUAGCUUUUGAGUUAUUUCUGUCACUGAGACACUGACUAUCAACAGCCUAAAUCAAGCCAAUUGAUAACUGAUAUACAUAGGCACCACACUAUGAAUGAGAUAAUUUUGCAGAUGCAUAUGUUUACACUGUUCAAGUAUACUAUAUGCACCUGAAUGUAAUCAGGUGCAUAUGUUGCCAGACAAAGAUGGCAUCUGUAUAUACCUGGAAUCAAUCACAAGGUAUAGGGAGGGAAUUAGUCACAUAUAUUCUUACUAGUACUGCUAGGUUGCUAGCUAGCUGCAUGUAUCCAUGUAGUAAGCAGUCACAAGUCAGAACACACAUCUGAUGCCACCAUCUUAUCUUACACUUCAGGAACUAGUACAACAUGAUAGGAUGACAUGUGAUGCUACCAUCUUAUCUUAGAAGAAGAAAAACAACAACACAUCUAGCAAGAACGGAUUGACAAUCACCUAGUUGCCGAUCCAUGAUUUUAUAGUACGGUGCAAGAUAGCUGUCAUCAUUGAACAAUUCAAGAUUGAAGAAUUCAAAACAUCUGAAUUGCAGCAAAUUGUAAUUCUUAUUCUGCAUAACUCAUAAAUUGGGAUGCAUAGAAGCAUACUAUCAACUCUAUAGUCCUACUGAGAACCCACUACCAAGAGGGCCCAAGAACUACACAUAUUGGUGGUGCGGCCAAUAUGUACCUCAAGUACUUAUAGAUCCUGAUGAAAUAUCAUAGACAAUUAGUGAAGGUGAAUUCUUAGUUCUUAUCAUAUGCCCAUUCACAAGAAUGACUACUUGAGAGCGUAUUCAUACAUGGGAGGGAAGGAGGUUGGGACAUGUACAUCUCAC